CAGGGAAUCGUGCGCAAUGGACGAAAGUCUGACGCCGCAAUGCCGCGUGGAGGAUGAAGGCCUUAGGGUCGUAAACUCCUUUUGCCAAACAGGAGAUGGUUUGGAGAAUAAGUGACUGCUAACUCUGUGCCAGCAGCCGCGGUAAUACAGAGGUCACAAGCGUUAUCCGGAUUUAUUGGGCGUAAAGCGUUUCGUAGGUGAUUUGUUAAGUUGCUCUUCAAAUACCAAGGCUCAACCUCGGGAAGGGGAGUAAGACUGACAGAAUUGAAUAGUGGUGGGGUUUCUAGAACUGGUGGUGUAGUAGUGAAAUACGUUGAUAUCAUCAGGAAUUCCAAGGGCGAAGGCAGGAAACUAACCAUUUAUUGACACUGAGGAACGACAGCUAGGGGAGCGAAAGGGA
rnacentral:rRNA from 1 species